rnacentral:rRNA from 1 species
UACAGAGGUCUCAAGCGUUGUUCGGAUUCAUUGGGCGUAAAGGGUGCGUAGGCGGCGCGGUAAGUCGGGUGUGAAAUCUCGGGGCUUAACUCCUAAACUGCAUUCGAUACUGCCGUGCUUGAGGACUGGAGAGGAGACUGGAAUUUACGGUGUAGCGGUGAAAUGCGUAGAUAUCGUAAGGAACACCGGUGGCGAAGGCGGAUCUCUGGGCCGUGACUGACGCUGAGGAGCGAAAGCGUGGGGAGCGAACAGG